UACGAGAGGCCCAAACGUUAUUCGGAAUUACUGGGCUUAAAGAGUUCGUAGGCGGCAUGAAAAGUAGGGUGUGAAAGCCCUCGGCUCAACCGAGGAAUUGCGCUCUAAACUGUCGUGCUAGAGGAACCUAGAGGUGAGCAGAACUGAUGGUGGAGCGGUGAAAUGCGUUGAUAUCAUCAGGAAUACCGGAGGCGAAGGCGCUCACUGGGGGUUUUCUGACGCUGAGGAACGAAAGCCAGGGGAGCGAACGGG
rnacentral:rRNA from 1 species